GGAGCAUGCUACUAAUGCUUUUAGAAUGCAAGGUGAAACCUGGAAGGUUGUCUCUGCCAAUCUUCUUUAUAUAUCUUUGUAUGGCUAAAUUCCCUUUUCCUAACUGCCAUGAGAAUGAUUCGGUUCUACGCUGUUCCCUGGACUACUGUGACUGUGAUCUGCAAAAGAGCUAGAGAGUUUGCAGAUAAUUAAAGCCAGAAUUCUGCCUGGUUGGGUAACCAUGAGUUUUUGUGCUUGCACAGUCUUCGUUUUCAAAAGCAUUGUCUGUUUUGUGCUGACAGUGAAGCCAUCUCAGAAGGGUAAUGGAAACUUGCAGAAGAACAGUAGAUCUAAUGAGAGGAAGAGUGAGGAAAUGAAGGAUCUGAUGAAUAAAAAACAACAAAAAGAACCCAUACAUUUGGUAAAGAAAGAAAGAAGCCCUUACAGAGUGUGA
rnacentral:lncRNA from 1 species